CCGGCGACCGGCGCACGGGUGAGUAACACGUAUGAAACCUGCCCGUAGCAGGGAGAUAAGCGGAAGAAAUUCCGUCUAAUACCGCGUAACAACCCAUGGAGGCAUCUCCGUGGGUUUAAAGGAAGCGAUUCCGGCUACGGAUGGUCAUGCGUCGCAUUAGCUUGUUGGCGGGGUAACGGCCCACCAAGGCGACGAUGCGUAGGGGUUCUGAGAGGAAGGUCCCCCACACUGGUACUGAGACACGGACCAGACUCCUACGGAAGGCAGCAG
rnacentral:rRNA from 1 species